AAGACCGCUCCAUUCCCAAUUAACCUGACGCGUCAUGUAUUCGAUUUAGAUCGCAAGUGGUCAAUGUUGGCCAGAACCCUGGGUACGGUUGCCGGCCUCUUUGCACUGAUACUGAGCAUCCGUGCCCUC
rnacentral:misc_RNA from 1 species